CUGGCUCAGGAUGAACGCUAGCGACAGGCUUAACACAUGCAAGUCGAGGGGCAUCACGGGAGUAGCAAUACAACUGGUGGCGACCGGCGCACGGGUGAGUAACGCGUAUGCAACCUACCUAUCAGAGGGGAAUAACCCGGCGAAAGUCGGACUAAUACCGCAUAAAACAGGGGCACCGCAUGGUGAUAUUUGUUAAAGAAAUUCGCUGAUAGAUGGGCAUGCGUUCCAUUAGGUAGUUGGUGAGGUAACGGCUCACCAAGCCGACGAUGGAUAGGGGAACUGAGAGGUUGGUCCCCCACACUGGUACUGAGACACGGACCAGACUCCUACGGGAGGCAGCAGUGAGGAAUAUUGGUCAAUGGGCGGGAGCCUGAACCAGCCAAGUCGCGUGAAGGAAGAAGGAUCUAUGGUUCGUAAACUUCUUUUGCAGGGGAAUAAAGUGCAGGACGUGUCCUGUUUUGUAUGUACCCUGAGAAUAAGGAUCGGCUAACUCCGUGCCAGCCGCGGC
rnacentral:rRNA from 1 species